CCCGCGCCCCGCGCCCCGCCCGCGGCCGCCGCUCGGCCCUGCCCGCUCACCCUAGCUUGACUCCCCGCGAGGGCUGCGGGGAGGGGGCGAGAAGGAGGAGCCGAGGAGGAGCGAGGGGGAGGAAGGAUCAGAAAAUGCUGUGUUGAGAGAGGCACUGCAGAGGUCAACUGGACCACCUGCCUUAGAUCUCCCUGAGGUUGCAGACAUUACAUAGCAAAUAAACACCAUGACAAGCCAAAAGAGAGACUGCAAAAGAAAGGGAAAAGCUAUAUUUG